rnacentral:rRNA from 1 species
AUUGAACGCUGGCGGAAUGCUUUACACAUGCAAGUCGAACGGCAGCACGGACUUCGGUCUGGUGGCGAGUGGCGAACGGGUGAGUAAUACAUCGGAACGUGCCCAAUCGUGGGGGAUAACGUAGCGAAAGCUACGCUAAUACCGCAUACGAUCUAAGGAUGAAAGCGGGGGAUCGCAAGACCUCGCGCGAUUGGAGCGGCCGAUGGCAGAUUAGGUAGUUGUUAGGGUAAAGGCCUACCAAGCCGACGAUCUGUAGCUGGUCUGAGAGGAUGAUCAGCCACACUGGGACUGAGACACGGCACAGACUCCUACGGGAGGCAGCAGUGGGGAAUUUUGGACAAUGGACGCAAGUCUGGUCCAGCCAUUCCGCGUGCAGGAUGAAGGCCCUCGGGUUGUAAACUGCUUUUGUACAGAACGAAAAGGCUCUGGUUAAUACCUAGGGCUCAUGACGGUACUGUAAGAAUAAGCACCGGCUAACUCUGUGCCAGUCGCCGCCGUAA